UGCAGCGCACAUGAACAUUUUUAAACAUAUUAAGUCGUGUAUUCUUUCUAUACGUGAAGUCAGCUGCAGGUUAUCUGGUGAAAGUGCGUGUUCUAUCUUUUUUCUUUGUGUUAUGGAUAGUUUUCUUCGACGAUUUGAUGCAUAAAAGUAGUCUGAACUUAACAGGCCUGUCCGGUCCAUCUGUCCACGCUGUUCCCGCAGUUUCAGUUCCCAAGGUGGAGUCAGCUGCAGAUCAUUUGAUGAAAAUUAGUUUUCUUUGUGUUAUCUUUUCUUCGACCUUUUGAUGCAUAAAACUAGUUUGAACUUCACAGGCCUAUUGAGUCCACGUUGUUCCUAUUGCAGUUCCUAAGGAUCUCUGCUGAGCAAGUUGAAAGUUACAGUUACAAAAAUUGGGACAACUUCCAGGUAUGUGCUGAAUUUCAGCGCAUUACCAACCAGAAUUUAACAAACACAUUUUACGCAGAGCUAGACCGCCACAGUUUUCGCCUGAUGACUUUAUAUCGACAGAGAGCAGCGAAGACUGGAAAAACUGCUGAUGCACUUUUAUGACUUAAAGGAUCAACAUGAUGUACACACAAGGCGAACAACAGCGCUCUGUGCACUUCCUGUGUAUCUGAGAGAAGACACCUCAAAAUUCUUUAAAAUAUGCACGAUUGAAGAUGAUUCAGAAGAGCCAGAUGUUGAUUCAUCAGU